CGUUGUACGCUGUUUGCCGCCCACUUCCGGGGUAUGCAGCCUCGCAUAGUUCCAAAAAGCCAUUCUAUGGCGUCGGACAUCAUUCACUUCCAUUGCUGACUCCCGAGUAACUUCUGAGAUCUUGCUGGACCAGCAGUAUCGUUGUUGUGGCCAUCACAGGUUUCAGUGGAGCGCCCCCCCCCCCCCCCC